UUUAUGUUAUAAUAUAAGAGAUCUAAAUCAGAGAUGUAUAACAAUUUACAAACACUUCACAAAUAUACUUAACCAAUAUGUUGGUAAAAACAUGACGUAGAUGAAAGUUGGGCAAAAAGGGUAUCAAAUAUUACAAGUAGAAGGAAUGUGCAGAAGAGGAGGACUGUAGAAGUCACAGGAAAAAAUGGCGAAGCCUAACUUCAGGAUGUUGUUACCACACCAUAAUGGAAAAGCAAAUGUACAAUAAUAGGCUAAUUACAAGUUUUACUGGACAACAAUGAAGAUGAAAACUAUAGAUUUUUCACAGAACCCUGGACUUGGGAACCAUUUUGAGAUUUGCUGUUUAUCAACCCUGCUGCUCCCACACCAAGGCAUCCCGGCUACCGGUGUCCAGAGAUGAGAUGUUUAUUCAGACGAAAUAAAUUAUCAUUGUUAUUUGUUCAGAGAGAUCUUGUCCUCACUUUUUACUUCCAUGAACUAUGUAUGGAAUUGUGACGCCCCCAGCAAGUGCAAAUCACAUUUUCCUACAGAUACGAGGAGUUUUCAUCAGGGUGACUCAAACGAAUAGAUCAUUAAAAUGGAAUAUCAAGUGGACAGAGCACCCAUGACUUCAGGAAACAUUUUUUCACACUCAGAAUUACUGAAGCAUGGAAUAAACUGCCCACAUCAGUUGUUAGCUGUUGAGACACUACAUUCUUCAAAACUUCCAUGCUUCCCAAACUUUGCCACCUGAUGUGCUCCAGCUUUUUUUCUUUCUUUUUUCCUUAAGCAUCCAACUUCCUGUGCAUUAUUCUAUGUACUUGUGGUUGUCUUUUCUGAUGAGUUGUAGUGCACCUAAGCACUGCAUGCAAUAAGUUAAUUAUUAUUGUUAUUAGUUCUUUGCACCUAGAUUGCUGUUCAUACUUGGUCAUAUUGUGUUGAAUGACAAAUGUAUAUGUAGUAGCAAAGAAAAUGUUGCUGAUACAAUGAAAUAAGCUGCUUGUUGAAAAAGUCUUGACAGACCAGAACACAGUGUGAAGCCCUCAUAUUUUUGAACUGUUUUAGCGAAAGGGUUUUUAUUCUUUUACUUGUUUCAGUCAUUUGAUUAUGGCCAUGCUGGAGCACUUAAAGGGUUUUAGUAGGAGAAAUCGACCCAAGGACCUAUUCUUUGUAAGCCUAAUACUUAUUUUAUCAGUCUAUUUUGCCAAACCACUAAGUUACAGGGAUGUAAACAUACUAACAGCGGUUGUCAAGCAAUAGUGGGUGGACAAACACGGAUGUAAAGACACCCACACAUAAAUAUAUACACGAAUAUAUACAU